CAGAAUUUUACCAGGACUGAAGGUGGAUCAGAUUCUUAUAGUUUCAACUGUGGAGGCAACUAGCAAAAAAUUCGAUCUCUAACCAGAACAAGACCAGGUCAUCUUAGAGAUACAGAUGGAAAAGGCCAGAGUUCUACCCUCUGAAUAUCUCUGAGUCACAGAGAGGAAGUCUGUAUUGGGUGGGGGACUAUGCUAAGCUCUGGAGAUAAAAAUACAAAAGAGAAAUAGUUCCUGCCCUCAAGAGGCUUACAUUCUAACGAUGAAGAUAAGACAUAUAUGGAAGUUGUGCACAGGAAAGUGUAUAGUGGCAUGGAUGAAAAACAGGAAGCAAACCAGAUGUCCAAUGACUGAGGAAUGGCUGAACAAGGAUUUUAGAUGGUAUAAAACAGUCACCAUUGUGAGGAGGCCAAAAAAUCCCAGAAAUAACUUCAUCCAGCUAACACUAGAUUUUCUUUCCAAAUGGAGAGAUAUAGCAUUCCAGAAGAAAACUAGUUGAAAGUAUAAGCAAAACAUUAUGGAGAAGGAUGACAGAAGCAGUGACACCUCCACAAACAGUGAAAAGCGGUGAAGAAGAAGACAGCCAAACCAGAUCAUCCUGAAAGCAUUUAUAGAUAAAAUCAGGAGGAAAACAACAAAUGGAACAGGUUUGUCAGUGCUAUCACAGUGAUCUCUUCACCAAUGACAAUGUCUACACUUGGAUUCUACCACUUCUGACCCUACUGUGUGAUGUGAGGAAGUAAAAAUGGAAAUUAAGAACAUGAAGUCGGGAGGUGUUAGAGGCGGGCCUAACACCAUCUAUGUCUUAGUUCAGGUUCAAUUUGGGGAUGAAAAGAAACACAUGAGUUACUGAAUAGUUAACAAAAAGGAAUUUACUUUAUGCGUUAUUCUAACACAGCAAAGAUAUGCAACUAGGAUUACGUGACAUUAUCCUAGGCUUUGGUAGACACAGUCUCCCUAUUCUUUAUGGAGAUAUAUCUCAUCAGCAGUUCAGCAGGGCUUCUAUAAUACAGCAGUCUGCAUGGUCUCGGGUACCCACCGAGUCUGAGAGGCCUAGACUCCACACAUAUGGGAUGUUUUAUGCCUUUAGCUGACCAGUCAGCUGCAUCAGGAAAGCCGGGGCCAAUUGCAGGGACAAAUUUGCCUCCUCUUAGGGAAAACUAAUCUCUGUCACAGGAAGGAAGGAGGAGUUGUAGCCCUAACCCACGUUUGUAGAAAUGCUAGUAGUUAGGCUUUAUCACAGGAGGAAAAUCUGGACCUGAACAAAACACAGAAGAAAUCCGUGCUGGGGGCAACAAAACUUUAGAGAAACCAGGGGAUUAAUUUUAAAGAUACCUUAACAGAGAGAAGAGUUUAAACAAAUGGAAAAAGAUCUUGGGCAGUAUCAAUGAACUGAUCAACAAGUAUUAAGUGCCUACUACGGGCAACUAGGUGGUGCCGUGAAUAGAGCACCUGAUCUGGA